rnacentral:rRNA from 1 species
AGUGAACGCUGGCGAUAGGCCUAACACAUGCAAGUCGAACGGCAGCACAGUAAGAGCUUGCUCUUACGGGUGGCGAGUGGCGGACGGGUGAGGAAUACAUCGGAAUCUACUUUUUCGUGGGGGAUAACGUAGGGAAACUUACGCUAAUACCGCAUACGACCUACGGGUGAAAGCAGGGGAUCUUCGGACCUUGCGCGAUUGAAUGAGCCGAUGUCGGAUUAGCUAGUUGGCGGGGUAAAGGCCCACCAAGGCGACGAUCCGUAGCUGGUCUGAGAGGAUGAUCAGCCACACUGGAACUGAGGCACGGUCCAGACUCCUACGGGAGGCAGCAGUGGGGAAUAUUGGACAAUGGGCGCAAGCCUGAUCCAGCCAUACCGCGUGGGUGAAGAAGGCCUUCGGGUUGUAAAGCCCUUUUGUUGGGAAAGAAAAGCAGCAGGUUAAUACCCCGCUGUUCUGACGGUACCCAAAGAAUAAGCACCGGCUAACUUCGUG